CGUAGCUCAGUGGAUAGAGCAACCGUUUCCUAAACUGUAGGUCGAAGGUUCAAUUCCUUUCGAG
rnacentral:tRNA from 1 species